GCAACGUCACGACGCGUCGGUUGAAGACUUCAUCGUCGGUUAAACCGAAAACGUGAGAACAACAACAACAACAACAACGUUGCUUUUAUUUAAUAACGCGGACAUAAAAACACCACUAACCAGAGCCAUCGACGUGUCACGUCCAACGGGGGUCGGUUGAGGCUCAGAAGAGUGACGGAAACGAAUCGUUUACUAACUUGAGUUUAACCGUCCCUCCCAACCGGUCUGGUCCAGGGUGACGUUGCAUCUCGGUGGGCUGAGAAGUGGUGACCGGGAUUAAGGACUCGGGCGGCUCCGGAUCCUCGGACCUUCCGAGGGAGGCCGGCUCUUCGCCCUGCUGCAAAACCCGCUGACGGUGCCGUAAACAAGGUGGGAAGGCCAAGGAUGAGAGGGAGCUGAGAGGUCAGGAGAGGCAGACGGCUUUACUGCUUCAUGCUAAUAAUUGACGUGCAGAAAAAAGAGAGUUAAAAACUGCCCCAAGGGGCUGAAGAAAAAGGGGGAGGUAGGCCAGAAGUAAGAGCCCCAGUGUUAUAAAAUUGCUUCUUUUUUGGAUUCACAAUAGCCGGC